GGUCCCAUGGUGUAACGGAUAACACAUCGGUUUCCGAAACCGAUAAUUCGAGUUCGAUUCUCGAUGGGGCUACCA
rnacentral:tRNA from 1 species